CCUACGGGGGACAGCAGUAGGGAAUCUUCCACAAUGGACGAAAGUCUGAUGGAGCAACGCCGCGUGCGUGAAGAAGGGUUUCGGCUCGUAAAGCCCUGUUGGUAGUGAAGUAAGAUAGAGGUAGUAACUGGCCUUUAUUUGACGGUAAUUACUUAGACAGUCACGGCUAACUACGUGCCAGCAGCCGCGGUAAUACGUAGGUGGCAAGCGGUGUCCGGAUUUAUUGGGCGUAAAGCGAGUGCAGGCGGUUCAAUAAGUCUGAUGUGAAAGCCUUCGGCUCAACCGGAGAAUUGCAUCAGAAACUGGUGAACUUGAGUGCAGAAGAGGAGAGUGGAACUCCAUGUGUAGCGGUGGAAUGCGUAGAUAUAUGGAAGAACACCAGUGGCGAAGGCGGCUCUCUGGUCUGCAACUGACGCUGAGGCUCGAAAGCAUGGGUAGCGAACAGGAUUAGAUACCCCAGUAGUC
rnacentral:rRNA from 1 species